GAUGAAGAACGCAGCGAAAUGCGAUAAGUAAUGUGAAUUGCAGAAUUCAGUGAAUCAUCGAAUCUUUGAACGCACAUUGCGCCCCUUGGUAUUCCGAGGGGCAUGCCUGUUCGAGCGUCAUUAUAACCCCUCAAGCUCAGCUUGGUGUUGGGGCCUGCCGCACGGGCAGCCCUUAAAAUCAGUGGCGGUGCCAUCUGGCUCUAAGCGUAGUAAUUCUUCUCGCUAUAGAGUCCCGGUGGAUGCUUGCCAUUAACCCCCAACUUUCUAUGGUUGACCUCGGAUCAGGUAGGGAUACCCGCUGAACUUAAGCAUAUCAAUAAGCGGAGGA
rnacentral:misc_RNA from 1 species